AGUGAACGCUGGCGGUAGGCCUAACACAUGCAAGUCGAACGGCAGCACAGUAAGAGCUUGCUCUUACGGGUGGCGAGUGGCGGACGGGUGAGGAAUACAUCGGAAUCUACUUUUUCGUGGGGGAUAACGUAGGGAAACUUACGCUAAUACCGCAUACGACCUACGGGUGAAAGCAGGGGAUCUUCGGACCUUGCGCGACUGAAUGAGCCGAUGUCGGAUUAGCUAGUUGGCGGGGUAAAGGCCCACCAGGGCGACGAUCCGUAGCUGGUCUGAGAGGAUGAUCAGCCACACUGGAACUGAGACACGGUCCAGACUCCUACGGGAGGCAGCAGUGGGGAAUAUUGGACAAUGGGCGCAAGCCUGAUCCAGCCAUACCGCGUGGGUGAAGAAGGCCUUCGGGUUGUAAAGCCCUUUUGUUGGGAAAGAAAAGCAGCAGGUUAAUACCCCGCUGUUCUGACGGUACCCAAAGAAUAAGCACCGGCUAACUUCGUG
rnacentral:rRNA from 1 species